rnacentral:rRNA from 1 species
UACAGAGGUCUCAAGCGUUGUUCGGAUUCAUUGGGCGUAAAGGGUGCGUAGGUGGCGCGGUAAGUCGGGUGUGAAAUUUCGGAGCUUAACUCCGAAACUGCAUUCGAUACUGCCGUGCUUGAGGACUGGAGAGGAGUACUGGAAAUUUACGGUGUAGCAGUGAAAUGCGUAGAGAUCGUAAGGAAGACCAGUGGCGAAGGCGGGUCUCGUGGACAGUUCCUGGACACUGAGGCACGAAGGCCCAGGGGAGCAAACGGG